GACGUAGGGCGCGAGCGUUGUCCGGAUUUAUUGGGCGUAAAGAGCUCGUAGGCGGCUUGUCGCGUCGUCCGUGAAAACCUGGGGCUCAACCCCAGGCUUGCGGUCGAUACGGGCAGGCUCGAGUUCGGUAGGGGAGACUGGAAUUCCUGGUGUAGCGGUGAAAUGCGCAGAUAUCAGGAGGAACACCGGUGGCGAAGGCGGGUCUCUGGGCCGUAACUGACGCUGAGGAGCGAAAGCGUGGGGAGCGAACAGG
rnacentral:rRNA from 1 species